GACAGGUCAGGUUCCUGAUACUUGAAAAUUUCCAGGCAAGAGGAUUUUAAGGGAGAAAGGUAGAGAAGCUGAGAGAAAGGCAUCAAGGUGGAGGGAGGAGGCAGGGAAUUGCCAGAUGGUCUGGUGGUUGCACAGUGACCCCAGUGCUUGGGGGCACUGAUUCUGCUGCUCUGGAAAAGCUGGUGGUACAACUGGGUGAAGAGAAGCUUCCAGGACCUUGCAGAUGCUCAAUGGGCCAUCCAACCAAGUGAAGUUGGGAGAGUAAACAUACAAUUUAUCCAGCCUGAAAGCAGUGAAAGAAGCUGAGAAUCCCUGCUGAAGGGCUGCAUCUGUUAUGAAAAUCAUCUUCCAGCCAUGGCUUCAGUCUCUUUUGCAGGAAAUCAAUUCCUUGGUGAAGCUACUUCUCACUUACAGUGUAAGAUACAAUAAUAGACUAGGAGAAAAAUGCAUUUUUGGCACCUUUUGGCUUAACCUACUUGAAAAUUAACUUCUCCAGCUUCCAAAAUGAGCAAACUUCUCUGCAAGAAGGGUUGCAAGGGGAAGCCAAUCUGUUUGUAGAGCAAUGGUGAAGUGUGGUAAAUUCAGAUCUCAAAAAUUUUGUUUUGUUAUAAGGUUGUCACUCAGGCAAACUUCUCAUUCUCCUUAAUUCUCCUUCUCAUUCUCAU